rnacentral:rRNA from 1 species
GGCUCAGAUUGAACGCGGGCGGCAUGCUUUACACAUGCAAGUCGAACGGCAGCACGGGGGCAACCCUGGUGGCGAGUGGCGAACGGGUGAGUAAUGUAUCGGAACAUAUCCGGAAGUGGGGGAUAACGUAGCGAAAGUUACGCUAAUACCGCAUAUGCCCUGAGGGGGAAAGGAGGGGAUCGUAAGACCUUUCGCUUUCGGAGUGGCCGAUAUCAGAUUAGCUAGUUGGUGAGGUAAAGGCUCACCAAGGCGACGAUCUGUAGCUGGUCUGAGAGGACGACCAGCCACACUGGGACUGAGACACGGCCCAGACUCCUACGGGAGGCAGCAGUGGGGAAUUUUGGACAAUGGGCGAAAGCCUGAUCCAGCCAUGCCGCGUGAGUGAAGAAGGCCUUCGGGUUGUAAAGCUCUUUCGGACAGAAAGAAAUCGCACUUACUAAUACUAGGUGUGGAUGACGGUACUGUAAGAAGAAGCACCGGCUAACUACGUGCCAGCAGCCGCGGUAAUACGUAGGGUGCGAGCGUUAAUCGGAAUUACUGGGCGUAAAGCGUGCGCAGGCGGUUUUGUAAGACAGGUGUGAAAUCCCCGGGCUUAACCUGGGAACUGCAUUUGUGACUGCAAGGCUAGAGUAUGGCAGAGGGGGGUAGAAUUCCACGUGUAGCAGUGAAAUGCGUAGAGAUGUGGAGGAAUACCGAUGGCGAAGGCAGCCCCCUGGGUCAAUACUGACGCUCAUGCACGAAAGCGUGGGGAGCAAACAGGAUUAGAUACCCUGGUAGUCCACGCCCUAAACGAUGUCAACUAGGUGUUGGGGGAGGAGACUUCCUUAGUACCGCAGCUAACGCGUGAAGUUGACCGCCUGGGGAGUACGGCCGCAAGGUUGAAACUCAAAG